ACUAAAAUUGUUAAAUUUACAAUUAUACUCUUAAAUUUUGUAUGCAACCCUAAUCCCAAAUCCAGAUUUCAGUUUUUCAGAAAUGUCAUCGUAACCCACCCCAGACCUCUUCUUGUCUCCUCUCCCCAAAUAUUUCGGUCUUCUCCGUCGCCGGCAGAAAAGCCGAAUACUACCGAGCAACAACAGCGCGCCUGUCUCCAGUGGUUCACAAUCGCGUCUUGAAGCCUCCAACGGUCCUCUCAUUGUUGCGGAUUGCGUGCUUCCGGGUCUGCGCCGCCACCAUCGCCAUCGUUUUGGAGCUGUGCCUCUUGUCUCUCAACGAACCAGGUCUUCAAGUCUUGGAGUAUUUAUUUGCAUCUAAUGUUCGGGCAUACAUAGAAGUCUAGGAGUCCACUUAUGGAAGGAAGCUGUGAAUGUAUGACUUGAAGUUGCAGAUGGUUUAGAUAGGCAGGUCCAAGUGUCCAACAUGCUGAAGUUGCAGAUGAUCGAUCUUGUCAUUUGAAUUCCAGUUUGAAGUCGAUUGACUGAGUUGAAAAUCUGUAUAAUGAUGUAUUUUUGAAAUUGUUAGCAGUCUUUCAAUUUUUUAUUUCUGUAGUCUGUAUUGUCCUGGUCAUAGUAUUAUUAUUUAAGUUGUAGUUUGACACUUGAAUUGAAACAGGCAAAUGACAAAUUGUAUAAAUUAGUUUGAGUAUA